rnacentral:lncRNA from 1 species
UCUAAUUUCCUUUUACUCAAUUUUUUUUUUUCACAACUUCAAAUCCUCAAACACCGCGGUCUAUUGCUAUAAUGUACACCAUCUUAAUCAUGACAACCUUUUUCACAUCAAUAUGUCAAACUCACAAUGCAAUCUACUUUUACUUUUACCAUUUUCUCGGGAUUUCAGGAUUCUGGUUCCGUCACAGUUCAGCAAUAAUAAACAUAAUAUCGAAAACGAAGACCGAAUUUAUUCCUUACACACUUAAUCCACUUCACUACAGAAAAGCAAAGUUGCAGCACGUGUUGCACUUGUACAUACUAUUACACAAAAACAACAUAAAUGAUCAACAAUUUGGAGUUGGGACAUUACAAACCGAAGCCACUCUCUUGGAUCCCGGAGAAUUAACAUAUCCCCUCAGAAAUGGAUUCUUCAAGUAGCCACAAAGGCACGGCUGCUGACUCCUCAGAUUACUGCAGCAAGUCGGUGAUGGAGCUUGGCUCGGGCUCUGAAUCGCGGAUAGACAUGAAGACAGUGCUACGGGAUUGCAUGUUACUGCCUCCGUUCCGCUCAUUUCUAUAGCCAGAAUAAAAACCGUUGCGAUAAAAAGCACGGAAUUUAGCUGAAUUUUCAUCUUCGAAAAGAAUAUAAGUGAGUAAUUUUUUUUUGGUGUGUUGGUAAUGGAAGUGGUGGAAUAAAUAGGCAAGGAAAUUGAUGGAAUCAGAUGGCAGUUAUUGCGAGUUUGCCUGCACAAAAUUUAUAUGCGUGGGUCAGUGUUGUGCAACCCCCAACUAACUACAGUUCCAUUUUCAUUUUCUUCACUUUUUCCGAGAAACUACUAUUUUUAUUCCUAUAAAUAAAUGAUUAGGAUUGCAUACAUCAUGUACGCUUGCCCGAUACGUAUUGAUAAUAUCAUACUCGACCUGAAUCUUAAAUCUCGAAUUGAAUUUGUUCAUCGAGAUAAAGUUCAAAAUUUAAAAAUAACGUGAAUAUUAUUUGAUUGUUUGUGUAUUGACCCAAAAUUAGAAAUUAUUCAUGAAAAUUUAAAAUUUUAAUUUUAUAGAAUUUAUGUUUAACUUGACUCAAAAUCGAUCCGUUUGUGUACACAAACAUGAUAUGUUAUUUAAAAUUAUCAUCUCAGUAACCGGAUUUUCUGUUAAGCGGGAAAUAUCAAAUACGUUGGUUUACUUAAAAAAAUCCAUCCCGCUCCGUUUCGAAUUAGUAGUCUAUUUUGAUUUUUUCUCAGUCAAAAUAACAAGUUUUUGAUUGAAUUUUAUAUUAAUGAUUUAUUAAAAAAAUAUAUAAAAUUUAUAUCAACAAAAAUUAUAAAUGAGUAUUUCAUAACUUUCAGUUAAAAAUUAGUCAAUUUGAAUUUAAAAAACUAAAAAUGGAUUAUUUAUUUAAACGCAAGUAGCACUCAAAAUUUGACCUAAAUUACCACGAACUUUUUCAUUUGAAAAUUAAGUUUUCCAAUUUGCAGGUGUGUGUAUUUGGCUAAAUAAAACACACAGAUAGAAUCAUAGAAUCUGUGAACUGUAAAUUAGAAUAUCGUUUAUUUAAAAAAAUAAGUCAACUUUGGUCAUUAGUUUUACAUAUUGAGAAUUAUGAUCCAUCGAGGAUAGUUUCUCUUCUACUAAUAUAAAUUAAAAAUAUUAAUAAUUAAAAGUGUGUGUUGACAAAUAUGAUAAUGAUAAAUAUCAAGAGAUGGAGAGGGGACACAACCAUUUUUACAUAAAUAUAUCAAACUUAUAAUACAAUCUUUUUUCCGAUUUUUUCGGGAUUUCAGGAUUCUGGUUCUGUCACAGUUCAGCCAUAAUAAACAUAGUAUUGAAAACAAAGACCGAAUUUAUUCCUUACACACUUAAUCCACUUCACUACAGAAAAGUGAAGGCGCAGCACGUGUUGCACUUGUACAUAAUAAACAUAAAUGAUCAACAAUUUGGAGUUGGGACAUCACAAGCAGAAGCAACUCUCUUGGAUCCCGGAGAAUUAACAUAUCCCCUCAGAAAUGGAUUCUUCAAGUAGCCACAAAGGCACGACUGCUGACUCCUCAGAUUAUUGCAGCAUGUUGCUGAUGGCGCUUGGCUAGGAUUCUGGACCGCGGGUAGACAUGAAGACAGUGCUAGGGCAUUGCAUGCUGCCUCCGUUCCGCUCAUUUCUAUAGCCAAAAUUAAAACCGUUGUAAUAAAAAGCGUGGAAUUUAGCUGAAUUUUAAUCUUCGAAAAGAAUACAAGUGAGUAAAAUGUGGUGGUGUGGUGGUAAGGGAAGUGGUGGAAUAAAUAGGCAAGGAAAUUAAUGGAAUCAGAGGGCAGUUAUUGUCAAAUUCCCUGCACAAAAUUUAUGCGAAUUUUCUAUGAUGUGUUCAUGAGCACACAAUAGUCAUCAAUUCGGGAAUACGAGUUUUUGAUUGGUGGAUGGAUAAUAAAUGUUAAUUGACCUCUUGCGUUCACAUCAAUUCCACCAAUCAAAUGAAACCAUU